rnacentral:lncRNA from 1 species
CAGUUUUACGUUUCUCAUGAAUGCUAGGAACUCGGACAAGUUAAUGUUAUCUGUAAAAAAGCGCCUGCUUCCAUGAACACCAGAACAGCCACUCCUUGGAAUGAUGGCCAUACAAGGAAGAAAGCAAACUAAGCCACUAACAACGGCACUGCUUCUACCAACUAACUUAUAAAAGACCUCUUCCUUGUAGUAGCUAAUGUAAGCUCAAUACACAGGGAAGAGUGUGCAUGUCACUCAUCCCACUGGUGUUACUGCUCAGUGAGAGAUGGAGACACUGCUUUCUGGAGCAAUGCUGUGAGGGAUGGCAAGGUACCGUGAGGGACAGAGGUGCUACCUGUUCAGCCUUUGGGAGUAAAUUGUGUCUCACACACCAUCUCCAGGUUCUUUAUUUGACUUUUCAGCAACCUACCCUACUGCCCUAGCACCACUGGGCUGUGGAUCUGAAACUAGGCUUUAUGGCUUUAUUUGUAUUACUUUCUAAAUGUGCUUUUUGUAUAAUUAUAUAACAACUGUUGAAUUUUAUUUUAUAGCUUAAUUGUAUUGAUUUAUAAAAUUGGUUUUAUCUUAUACUAGAACUAUAAAGCAUAUUCCAUAUGUUUACUUAAGAUUAUAAAACAUUGAAGCCAUCUCUGG